rnacentral:lncRNA from 1 species
UGUUUUCUUGCUAUAUCCAAAUUUAAAAAUUUACAAAAAAAAAAAAGUAACAGCAGAAAAGGAGAUGUGGCCUUUUUCAUUUGCUGCUCCUCCUAACUAAGACACAGCUUACCAGAGAGAUUCUGCUUUGACAUAAAACAUCUUGGUCCAAAAUGUUUUUGUUCACCAUGGUAAGACUAACGACAGUGUAUUGCAGAGAUCUGAAGAAUUUUUGAAUACCUAUUCUUCCUAUACAGUCAGCUGUCCAAAGUUGAAAAGAGUAUGGGAAUUGGUAAGCAGAGGCAGGGAUGGUCUGAGGUUUGUUUUUUUUCCCCAGAGCUGUUACAGAAACAGGAAAUCGAAUGGGUGGAAACCUACUAUCAUCAAUGCUGCACUUCCUCUGCUGAUGGAGAAUAACCAUACCUAGGUUUUGGCUCUGACUUGCUGGGAGUGUGUACAGUACACCCCAGAUAACAGGAUUUAUCAUGAAGGGACACUCUAGUAGGAGAGCUGGAGUACAUAGCUCAGUUUGAGAACAUGUAGGCUUCAUCUGCAAUGUGAACUUUGAAAUCUUCAGAGACAAUAAUUUGGCUGAACUGACAACUAGAUUUUGGGAUGCAGAGGGGCCUGCUACAUCUGAAUGGGGAACUGGUUUUGCUUGCAGCAGACUGUCCUGUAUCUGAGUCCUGUCCUCAUUAACCUGAAGAAUCCUUGAGUCACCCAAAAUCUAGAGAAAAGAAAAAACCCAAAUGUCUAAGAAAGAAGAGGACACAGCCUGUGUCCUUGGGUCUAGAAGGCUUCUAAAUGCAUAUCCAUCAGUUUGACUGAAAAGUGGAAGGUGUGGCUGUUGAUGGUUAGAGAAGGCCUUUGAGUCAUACAAAUCCAGUAGUUUAAUGACUUGAUCGACAAUCAAGAGAGAUUGAACGCUGAAAAACCAUCCAGGCACAAAGGUUGAUUAGGUUUAUCUGGUCUUGGACUUCCACCUACCCUGUGUUGGUUAUGUAUGGGAAUAUCAACAAGGUCAGGCACAUGUGGCAUGUUGCUGGCAAACUGAAACAAAUGACGCGCUGAGAAGGGCUGUGGGGUUUGGGUUUUUUACUGUGUAAACAUGUUGCUACAUUGACAACAGCAGUAAUGUUAAUAACUUCCUUCUGCUUCAAGCAAUCCCCAUCAGAUCCUCUGGUUCUGGUGUUGGGUUUUUAAAGUCUUUAAAAUGUUGUCCUUUGGCCUACAACUUAUUUUGCAGAGCUGAUAAAGAAAAGGCUGUAUUGUACUCAUACUACAACCACUUCCAAGUGAUGGAGUCAUUGCAAAUUAUGUGUGUGUGAAAAAACGAGGUGGUCAUUAUGGUGUUUUGAAAACUUACUGCAUUUUUUUUCAGAGAAGCAAAGUCCACAUUCCCAGAGAGAGUUUCUGUUUGCAAUAUGCUCUCUUCUCUCCAAGUGCUUUAUAAAACAUUUGCCUCAACCCACUACUAAUGGAUUAUAGAUUAAGCAGAAACAAAAGGGCACAGGACUGUUCUUUCAUAGUCUCCCUGUUGUAUUGUGUUAUUUAGUUUGUCCCUGUUUUUCUCUCAUUUAUGGUUUCAUCCCAAGUUGUCUCCCCUUCCCUAAAUGUCAAUCCCAUCCCCACUCCUCCCAAAUCCCUAGAAAUUUCCUUGUCAGUCCCCAUAGCCCCUUCCUGGCACCUUGUCUGUCACUUGACUCUCUGGAAGCUUCCACAAAGGGCGUCGAGUGUUUGGCCAAGGGCCAGGGGUCCCUCCUCCUCAGCUCCCCGAUAUGUUCUCCUACUUGACAAUUACUUCGUGUCCCACUCCCCUCUAUCCCCUUGGUGGAUAGCCAAACCCCUUCCUUGUUUCCACCCCAUAAGGAAAGGGGCUGCUCCAGAGCCCUUGGAGGCUUUCUAGCAUUGUGCUCCUCAUUCCAGAUGCUUCCUUGGAGCUACCAAAACACCUCAGAUUUGUACAAUGUGGAUUUGUCUCCUCCCGGUUCCCUCACCAUCGCCGGCAGUGCCUUCCAAGGAAAGGGCUCAUAACCCUUAUCCUCUCUCCUGCGCUCCUGAGCACAGAAGGGUGUCCAUCCCCUGCAGCCACUGUGUCGGAGCUAGCAGGGAGGCACCAGGAAGACUUUCAGUGGACACUGCGGCAGCUUGGCGCCCACUGCGGGCCCCAAAAACCACCACGGAAGAGACUGUCGGUAUUCCAGCUGGAGUUACCAUUUUCAGUCUCCUGGCUGGCAAGCUACCCCAAGUGGGAGCGGCCCCUUUUUGGUGGGUAGUGCUCUUGCCUUGGAGCGGGGUGGAGGAGGCACCGCAGGCCCUUUCCUUGGUUGGGUGUGUGCUCCAGAUCUCUGGCAAGGUGCCAGAUUCUCAGAAGGGUGCAGUUGUGGGUGGUGUUUUUUGUUUCUCCGUUUCUCCUGGGUGGGUGAUUUAAUUUCGACUCAGAAUUUAAUAUCUCAACCACAAUGGGUGCAAGGCUGUCUGCAUCACAAAAGGGUGUUUAUUUCCCCCUCCUGCGUGGGGGAAAUCAGUUUUCUAAAAGGGAAAAACAUGGACAAACCAAAUAACACAAUACAACAUUUCCCAAUUUAUCUUGCUUAAGCAAUAGAUAAUAAUUGACAGAAGCAAUUGGAGAGUCACAGUUUGAUUUGCUUUUAUCACUAGAAGUCUGCACUAUGUUUAUGUUAUCUUUUGUUUAGGCCAGCGGUUCUAUGAUCAUCUGGGGUUUGGGACAGAAUCAUUAUGUCCUUACUGACAUUCCAAUGGACAGUUGCAAGUUGGCCCCACUACAGUUCUCUGGGAGCCCACUCUUGGAACAGAUUUCAGUGCAGUACCUCUGAGGAGAGGCUAAGGGCCUUUUAACCUCAGAGCUCUGAAUUCAAGGUUCCGUUUUAUUAUAUUAUUUUACAGUUUGUUUAACUUUGUCGUUCAUCUAACAAAAUAGGAAAAAUACAUUUGUGUCAGCAUAAACUAUCUUGGGAUACUUAAAAAGUGCAAAGUCCAUGCAUAAAACAUCUGAAAAGAUUUCCAUUAAGGAAAAGGCAUCUAGUGUUGGUGAUGUUUAUUAUCAGCAAGGGAAUGGGAGAAAAAAAGUGCAUUUGAAAAAUUCAAUUCAGCAUUUCUCAAGACUUCCUUAUGCAUAUUAUUUAUUUGUCUUUCUUUAAAAUAUGAAUGAAGUCAGUGAAAAUGCUCUGUGUUGGAGGCUCUUCAAAUUUCAGAUGGAAAAACCCAGGCUGUAUACUCUUGGUGCUCAUGAAAAAAUCAAUAAUUGUGGCAUUAGGAAGGGCUGCUUCUGUGGUCGUUUUCUUAAGAUUUGCUACUCUUACUAUUAUCUUCAUACUCCCACGCAUCUGUGUAUUUUUCUUCUAUGCUUCUUCUCUUUACUCCAUUGGGCAGUAUUUCUCAGUUCUUUGUGGUGGUAAAAUUGGAAGGAACAAAGGAUUCAGUAAGAACUUAUUUGGGACAUGUUGGUGGAUGAGAAACUCAACAUGACCUGGCAAUUGCUUACAGCCCAGAAGGCCAAUAGGAUCCUGGACAGUGUCAAAAGUAGCCAGCAGGGAAGGGAGGUGAUUCUUCCCCUCUAACUCUUUCUUGUGAGAACCCACCUGGAGUGUUGCAUCCAGCUCUGGAGUCCUCAGCACAGGAAAGAUGUAGACCUGGUAGAGGGCCACAAAAAUGAUCAGAGGCUUGGAGGACCUUUGAAGACAGACUUAGAGAACAGGAGUUGUUCAUCCUGCAGAAGAGAAGGCCCUGGGGACACCUAAAGCUGCAUUUGGAUGCAAUGGAGGGCUACAAGAGACCUGGAGAGGGACUUUUUAUGAGGGCUUGUAGUGGUAGGACAAGGGAGAAUGUGUCACUGUUGGGUAAGAAAAGACACAGACUCACCAGAAAGCUGGUUUGCCCUUUACUUUGAAUUCUCUCUUUUUAUACAUUGUUCCAAUACAGAUGGACCAGACUGGUCAAUUAAUCAAUACAUUCCACCUGAUUGGAUAAUUAACAACGUGCUUUUCUUAUAAGCAGUCCUUGUGAAAAACAGGAAAACAGAGUAGGAAAACAACACCUGCAGGUUGUUCAUGAUAAUAAGUUACCAUUGCUUAUAUUGAACUUCCUAAAGUCUCACAAGCUGAUGCAGGGAAAAUUUAGCUAAUUUUCUCACUCUCUGACCAGGCUGCCACAUCCACAGGAAUGGCUUUAAAUUGGAUGAGGGUAGAUUUGGAGAUUUCAGAGAAGUUGUGGAUGUGCCGCCUCUGGAGGUGUUCAGGGCCAGAGUGGGUGAGGCUUUCAGCAACCUAGUCUAGUGGAAGGUGUCCCAGCCUAUGGCAGAGGGUUUUAACUAGAUUUUAUUUAUGGUCCCUUCCAACCCAGACCAUUCUGUGGCUCUAUGAUAAUUUUGCUUCUUCUGUUAACUAUGUUUCCUUCAAUUAAAUGUAUUUCAAUUCAUCAGGUGUGGUAUUGUUUUACUCUCUGUUUGGGUGACUGAAGAUACCUUCAAUAGCUGCUGCAACAGGAAGACUGCUCAAUAUUUGUCUCCCUCGGGAUGACUCUUGCAGGAUUUGAUUUGCAUGAAAGCAGCUCCCUGCCUUUGACUACAGCUGGCAAACUGCUAAAUACAAAACAAUGGCUAAUAGAGGACUGUUGGAAGUGAGCCACUAAAUUGAGGACAUCUGCCUUACCAUUUUUUUUCAUUAAAAAUAUUAACAGAAGCUGCUAAAGAACUUAAAGAAUUUUUGAAAGAGCACACUAGAACUGGAUGUUGAAUCCAUGUUAAGUUUCUUCCUGUCUUCAAGGAAGAUAUAUUGCAGUAAAGCAUUCUCAGUUUUAUGUUUUCAUUCCUUCAUAAUAACUUCAAAGAAGAUAAAAGGAUAAAUAGUUGUGUUUCACACGAAAGACCAAAAUAUCUUAGAGUUAUUUAUAAUCACAUAACACCUCCCUCCCCAGUGAACUAACUUCAUAUAUUUUAGUAAACUCUAUGUACAUCAGCAGUAUGGCCCUAGCUGAAUUCAGUGGAGUCAGAAAUAAGCUCAAUUAAUCUUCUUCCUUUAGGUAGUUUCUUAGAUUUUAUUUAGCAUGUUAAGACUGAAAAUUAUUUAUAUGAAUUGUAUACAAAUGUAAAUUAAAGGUAUCAUUUAAAUGUUUAUGCAAAGCAUUUUGCCUUGUUUAGCAAUGGAUUUUUUUUAAAUUUAAAAAAAUUCUAGCCAUGUUUUAGAUAAAUACAUAUUUCAACAAGUCUGUCACAGUGUACUGCAAAUAUUGCUUCUUAGAAUUUAGGAUUACAUCAUGUUGUGACUGGAACAAUUUUCUUGUGACAAAACAGAAAAUUUAGAUUCUGCUUGAGUUGCUCAAUGUUUGUUACUAUUUUGGAGGAUUGUUAAAAUUAAACAGAGGUAUUUUUUUGGUACUAAAGUCAUCUUUCAGGCAUUACUUAGUGCAUACUGAAUGCCUUUGUAGUACAAGACAAACCUGUACUUGACACAGGACACUGUAUGCACAUGAUUGGCCCCAUUGAUUGCAACAAAGAUUAUUGUGCACAUAAAGUAAGAACAUUCUUAAAAUAUCUUGAUGACUCGUGGAGACAGUACAUUUUCCUACCAGUCUAAAAACAUGAGCUAGCUGGUUCUGAUUACAUCUUAGAAUUUCAAGUAAGUACUUUCUUUACAAUCUUUGCAAUCUGGAAAUUUAAUACCAGGAAGAAAUUAAUCCCUCCUUGCAAUGCAUCACCCAAUUGAAAAAUAAUCUAUAAAUUAAACAAAUAUGGCUAAACCCUUGGAAAUAUCAGGUAAGUAUAUGUUUUUGAAUCCUGUAAGGUGUGCUAAAGUAGGAGAAUUUUGUAUAGAUGUGCAAACAUCAGUACCUGGUAUUGUAGUGUGUAUGCCCUAGACUGCUACAUAAUUUUUAAUUAUUUGGUUUUAUCUUUGAAUAUUUAAAACUUCUGGAUUAACUUCACUGGUUUCUUACUUCUUCUCCACUCAAAAGAAUUCAGCACACUAAAACUUAACACCUUAAAACUUUUUUCAACAUGUUGAGGAUUUUAGCUAUAUACAAAAAAACCCCCAAAAAACCCCAAAACCCAAAAAACAUUCUUUUUUUGCAGAUCUCCAUAGGAGUGCUUCUUUUUCCCAGCAGGAAAAUGAAAUAUGUCUCUUUAUUCUGUUCUCUGCUAAGCUGUUUAUCUUUUUUAGAAAAGGAGAUAAAGCUCCUUAGAAAAGAAAAUCCGGUGUCAUAGACAUUGUGGGUUAAUACAUCUGUUCUAAUUAACAGUUUCAUAUAGGAUGUCAUUAGCAUAGUGGAAAACAAACUCACCAAGGCAAUUUGCUCUGGUGCAUGACAACUUCCUCACUAUCUGGCAUUAAAAAUAUUUUAAUCUGCAGAAACUAGGAAAAAAAGCAAUGCCAAUUAUUCAUGACAUUUCUGAAAAUUGAGGAAGAAAAUUGGAUUGUGCCGGGGUAAUUAAUCUGGUAAAUAAAGCAGAGGAAAUAGACGACGGGUGUUUUAUCAUUAGUGAGAGAUGGUUCACGGCCACGCGAUGGCAGCAGAGGCUGCGGAAUUAGGGUUGUUUUUGACAACUAAACCACGGAUAAUAAACAGGAUAUGCCCUGCAGUUCCUAACUGGUACUUGGGGUUCCAGAAAAUGUACAUUAUGUACAUUUUCACUUAAAGAAGUGGCAUGUUUAUCAGACCAGAAGUUUCUGUGGAGUGGGGUUACAUACUUUUCAUUUAAAAAAAAAAGUUCGGGGCAUUUUUUUUUUCCGGUAAGAUAGUAUUUUUUAUCUAAUUUGCCGAUAUUUCUGUCUUCCUCAGUUACUUGAGGUAGUUACACAGAGAAGAAUAGGCCUAUUUUGAUAAAAGCAAGACAGUAGCUUCCUUUUUCCUAAUAUUUUUUUCCUAGUACUUUUGUCCACAGAAAAGAACUGUGGUAUAAAAUCCCUUUUGAGGAAAACCAGAAAAUUAAAAUCUAGAAUGCUGUCAGUUUCCAGGAGGAAGAUUUAAAAAAAUGUGAAAAAUGUGCUUGUUCCAAAAUAGUCUUGAACUAAGGAAGCUGAAUGUUUCGACUCAAAGCAGUAUAAAUUAAUAAGCUCUAUCUCUGUAAUUUAAAAAGAAAACUGCAAUCUGCUCAUUGUAUCCAAACUAGAUGUUCUUUCUCAACUUACAGGCAGCUAUUUAUAUAUAUUUCCUUCAUGUGACAACUUCUAAGAACUCAGGAUUUGUGCAAGAUAGUAAAUGAAACCUUCCAAUUCUACAAGUUAAAAAUUGUCUUUCCAAAAAGUCGAGAUAUUUUUUUUUCUUCUGACAUGUGUAAAAGCAAGUCUUUCAUAUGGAAUUCUUUCCUGCAAAAGGCACAGUUCCCUUUCUGUAUUCCAGAUAGCACAGUUCCCUUUCUGUGGUCUGUUUCCAUUUUGUGUUCCUGACACUACACUGCAAGUUCAGCUUUGAUCAAACAAGACAGUCCAGAAAAACUUCCAUCAAUGCCUCUCUUCAAUCCAGGCAAAUACUUACAUUAGAAUUUCCUCCUGGAGCAUGACAUUUUGCAGAUCUGAAAGACAGCCAGGCAGAGUUUAGACAAACAGCUUUCUUGACGGCUUUGAUGGGCAGGAGCAUGGGCUGGAUGUUCUCCGAAGUCCUAUUUCCUGUGACUCUACAAGAGUUGUCUUGGGAGUUGCCCUACCUUUCAGAAGGGUGGCAGCUGCUCUUAGAGAAAGUCACUCUUAAUAAAGUGUUCUCUUUCCAACAAAACCAAGGAGGCUACAGGGUAUGCAAGCACUGGAUUCUGCACAAGCCAGAGGUCUUCUCUCUUGACUCCUUACUGGAUUGCCCCAGUAUGGCAGAAAGUGGUGAGGAAGAACAUUUUCACCAGCUGGGGGAUAGACUCAGCAAAUAUACAUAAUUUUGGGCAGCCAGAAGAGAACUUGUUCACUAGAUCAUUUUGAGCAUCCGAACUCCUGCACUGGAUUAAUAUGAUUGAGUUUUUGCAAUUAGAGAGAGUUUGCCUAAAGCACUGUGGAUUCCCUUCCUCCAGCCUGUGAUUCAACUGCUCUGCCACAACUACCUGAGGUGUUCAAAGCAAGUGCUCUCCCACAGGGCCAGCAACAUUGUAAAUAAGCCUUUCACAGAUUAACGUUGCUCCCGAUGCAGCAGUUUUAGGCAUUGCUGCUCUGCCAGUCAGAAUAGUGGGAAAAAAACCCAUAGUGCCAUUCUUCUACUGGUUCUAGGUUUGAGGGGGGUUAUAAGUGCAAUUUUUAGAUUCUAGACCUGAAAAGCAAAGAAAUAAAUUGUCUGCCAAUUCUAGUAUUGAGGGUUUAGGUGGCAUUUUCCCACACAAUCUGAGGACUGAUAAAUUACCUCUAGUGUGAGCACAUGGAUUCACAAGGGACAGUCCUGUUUAACAAGAUUGGUAUGAUACAGUCACAAAUCCAGUGGUUGAAGGGAAGACAGUGAAUACAGUUUUUCUGGAUUUUAGUAAGGCUUUUGAUACUGUCCCUCACAUCAUCCUUUUGGACAAGUUACCCAAACAUGGGAUGAGCCAGUUCACAAUGCACUAGGUGAAGAACUGGCUGAAGAAAAGGGCUUCAUGGUUGUGGUGAAUGGGGUCACAUCUGGCUGGUUACUGGUCACCAACAGUACUCCUCUCCUCAUAUAUGCAGAGCAAUUUGAAAAUGGAAGGUAAGAAACUUGCAUCUCUUUUCUUUCUUCUUCUUCUUUCUUCUCUUGCCUUCUCCUUUCUCUUUCUCAUCUCUUCUCCCUUCUCUUCUUUUCUGUAAAAUGGCUGUUCUGUGCAAUUAGAGGCAAAUUCAAGUUCAGGAGAUACGAGAAGCUCUCAGCAUACAUCAGGAGAAGAAAACAGUCCUAUGGAAGGACCAGAGAGUUGUUGGAAACAACUGCAAAUCCACGUGAAUUUAUUUUGUGUACAACCAGCCAGCCAAGGAGCUAACACCUCCUGCCUCACAAAAGGCCUUAAGCCAACAAGGGUUUUUUUUUCAGCUGAAAAAUGAAUAUGAAUUCUUCCCUUAAGGUGUUACUGUAGCUAGUUUCCCAGCUUCUAAAGAAAAUGAUGACACAUAUCUGAAAAUGUGGUGUCUGUCACUUUUCUUGUCACAAUAUGUCAAUUGGAUCCAAAUUUCUAUGGAAUCUUUAUAUUUUUAUACUUUUGCUUGUUUUAUUUAUAUUUUUUUCCAAAUUUAAAGUUCUCUCUUCCUCUUGCUAUUACAUACUGAUUCUUCUAUUGACACCCUUCUGUGAGUCUCCAGUAGUCUUCUGGUCCUUACUCAGAAUUAGGUUUUCUUGCUUAUUAUUCUAGCCACAAAUGCUGUGGCUGAUAC